AAUGCGAUUGUACAUUUAUACUCCUUGAUUGGUUCUGUAAUCUCUGCUCACAAGACGCAGGUGUUCAUAUUUUGAAUAGUUAGCAGUUGGACUUCGGCAAUCAGGUUUUCAUAUCGACACAUGUAAUUCCAAAGUGUUUUGUGACAUGUUUCAUACGAAGUUCGUUUUAUACAUAAGACGUUCAGUUGCAUAAUUCAAAGAAAAUGGAUACUGGACAACCAGAUACAAGGAAGUCGGAGACGGAAAGUUCAAUACUGCAAACAAUCUUAACGCAAACAGAGACAAAUGCAAAAGUACCAGAUGUACAAGAUUUCAAUAUUGUGAAGCCAAUAAGCAGAGGAUCGUUUGGCAAGGUUUUCCUAGGCUGUAAGAAGAGCAACCCAGAUCAGAUAUACGCCAUCAAGGUGAUGAAGAAGUCGGAGUUGGUGAACAAAAAUAUGGCCAGCCAAGUGGUAACAGAAAGAAAUGCCCUUGCGCUGUCGAACAGCCCGUUCUGCGUUCAACUAUUUUACUCCCUGCAGACAAUCCACAGCGUUUACCUGGUGAUGGAGUAUCUGGUUGGAGGGGACCUCAAAUCGCUGCUCAGUAUGUAUGGUUACUUUGAUGAGAACAUGGCUGUUUUCUAUGCAGCAGAAAUAACCUUGGCACUGGAAUAUCUCCAUUCGCACGGGAUCAUACACCGUGACUUGAAGCCUGACAACAUGCUCCUUACUGACCGCGGUCACGUCAAACUGACUGAUUUUGGACUGAGUCGCAUAUCUGAGUUUCAAAGAGACUUGGAAAUAUCAGACUUGGUGAGUAAGUCAGAGAUGGGUGUCUCCUUCAGUCGUACCCCAGGACAGCUUUUGUCUCUGACCUCACGUCUCUCCUUUGGCUCGGGUCAAAGUGGCAUGCUCCCAGGUGAUGUGACAAGCCUCAACACUUCAUCCAGCUGCGAGGACCCAACACAGAACCUCACAUCCCUGUUGGAGGAACAUCACAGUGAUGCAAGUGUGUCUCAGCAUGAUAAUAGUAGUAAUUUGUCGGGCAUUGCUCCGUUCAUGUCCGCUAACAGCAGUGAUGCAUUUGAUUUGUACCAAACUUGUUCCAGCGCCUUCACCAGUGACAAGACUCCUCUUACUAGGCAUUCUUCCUCAUGGUGUGUGAAGACAUCCUAUAGCAACAAAAGGCGUUCCCGUCCGAUCACUUUGCCGCUCCACCAGUCAAUGACCACGCCUCCCACCGCUUUCUUUAAGUGCCCCCAUCAGCUGCAGGGCACCAAGCGGAAGCUGUCUCCCGAACGUAGUGUACUGGCCGACAUGACCAACAGCACGCCCAAGAGAUACGCAGUCAGCACCCCAAAGAGGAAGGAUUCUAAACAUACAGGCCUCACCAAGGACUUCAUCAAAGUGGAUAUCAUCGGCAAAAGAAAGGUGAAGGGAGUGCUUAAAUGUGAGAAUGUUGCUUUGCUGUCCACCCCUGUAACCUCGCUACCUGUCAUCAAGACCACCCGAUUCAAUUUGCCACAGAAACUUGGAGAUGACGUCUCUGUUUCCAGUAAUGGUGCUCUAGUAACGACUCCUCUCACUUCUAACCAUACACCAUUCCGCACGCCAAAGUCUGUCCGACGAGGCAACCCUUCCAGUGACCACCGUAUCCUGGGUACACCAGAUUACUUGGCCCCUGAGCUGCUGUUACGUCAAGGACACGGACCUGCAGUAGACUGGUGGGCACUGGGUGUCUGCUUGUUUGAAUUCAUGGCUGGCAUCCCGCCCUUUAACGAUGGAACUCCUCAGGAUGUGUUUAAUAACAUUCUUAACAGAGACAUCCCAUGGCCGCGAGAAGAGGAGCAGUUUUCGAAGCCUGCCCGUUCUGCAAUUGACACUCUUCUGACACUGGACCCAGUUCAGAGACCUGCGGCACCUCAGGUGAAACAGAUGUCCCUCUUUUCAGCGAUAGACUGGGACAAUCUCCUGAGCACUACGGCGCCUUUUGUGCCACAGCCUGACGACAGCACCGACACCAUCUACUUUCAAGCUCGGAAUAUCCUGCAGCAUCUGAACGUAUCCACCUUUGAGCUCUGAGUGCCUCGAUUCAGUGAUUGAUUUCCAAAAUUCUUUUUUUUUUUGCAAUUACCAAAUAUUUCUUGCAGUGAAAAGUCAAUAUUGUUGUUGCAGCCACACACAUCAAUGGAGGAUGAAGAAACAGGUCGUAUACUCGCCUUCUCUCAGACUCCCCCAGCCGAUGACGGUCCCCGUUAUCCCCGAAUACAGAGCGCUGCCUGUCGGAAGACAGAUUGGUCGCACCUGAUGCGUGAAGGUGACCGGCGAAUCCAUUGUCAGAAUGGCAACGUCAUUGUACUGAAACAUGAAGUGAUGCGUGACUGUUUGUAGUACAACAUGAAUUACAAAUGGUUCUGAAGAUAGAGACAGCAGAUUCCUCUGAACUGUUGGUAAAGGCCUACAUGACUACAGUGUCACAGCGACAAUGACUUCGAAUGAACAAAUAAAGCAAAGUAGGACAAAUGCCACGACAAACUUACGUCAUAAUAAUGGAGAUCAGUUAUUAGCCGUUGUUUCCUUAAGCGGACACAGAUUGUACGCGCGAUAAUCAGACUUGUUUAGCGACAGGCCUAAUGCGAUGUCAUUGUGGAAUUGACUCUUUACAUGUGAACUGACCCCGGCGUUUUGACUCGCAGGAGUCGACACUCGUGACCCCAAGCUUCAGUGAUGUGCAUUGUUAUCAAUUUCUUCAAACAAUAGUAAUUAAUUUUCUUCCCUCAAGAUGUUACACUUUACAACCAUACAGGAAAUGGAAAAAUUUAGGAAUUUUAUCAUAGGUUCAGUACUUAUCGUGAGAAAUAUACUCACAGUAUGAAAGUCGGUGAUAAUACAGUAUAUUUCGGUUCGUGAAAUGAAGCGCAUUGAACUACUCAACAGUGUGCGGUGGCAGAAAUAAUUUACGUAACCGAAGAAUGCUUUGUUAAAAGACAGAGAAUUUUCCACUAAUGGUUUAUUUGAGCUGGUUUCUGCUGGAAUGAACGUAAGUGCGUGGUGAUUGCACAGAAUUGAACCACAGUCAUUCCUUUCAGUUUUAAAAACUGGUUACAGAUCUUUCUGGAAUGCUCCAGUGAUACUGUGUGAUGAAGCGUGCCUUUGUUAUUACCCACCAGAGUGCGUGAGUCGAAGCCACGGUGGCGAACCACUCUCUUCACCUUCUUCUCAAUGUGGUGGACCUCGGAGUUCAGUUUUAUGUUGUGGUCACCUAGUCGCACUGUCAGGCGGGCUACGUCCCACGAGCUCAUGCUGCAAUGCAAUUCGGCAGCUUGUGUUCAUGUCUGUAUUUUAAUAUCUCAUAUAUGCAAGUUAUACUUUCAGAGGUGAUGAUUUGUGAAUAUUAUUUUCCUUCUUAGGCCUUUAUCAGUUAUGCAGUGUAUUUUAUUUAAUUGAAGCUGGUAAAUUAUUAUACUCUGA